AGGCUUGACAGAUUGCAGCAUAAUUGGCUUAAUUCCCCAGAGACUAAGACUCAGAACAAGUUUUCAAAGUUGAAACAAAAGUGGUGCAAGAAAUCCUUUUCUCUUUCACUUUAGCACACAGAGCACCUCACCACAGAUGGAUUUGCCUGGGAAGACUCAGCUAUGAAAAGUGUUUUAGAGCCCCUGAGUGGACCCAGCCCCACAGCUCUACUCUGAAGAAAGGUGACGGUUGUCCUUCCCUGACUACCCAAACAAACAGGCUCUAUGUGGUAUUGAAUACAUGAUAUUUGGAUUUGAGUAGGUAUGUUUAAAAUGUCCUCUGAAUGAAGCAAAACAAUGCAAGGAGGGACAAGAAAUCUCUAACAGAAUAGGUGAGUGGUUACAAUCAUGACUGAUUUCUGGAGUGUAUCUGAUACCUAAACAGUUUUUACUCAAUUUUAUUCUGGAACUCAUCAGCUGAUAGUACAAAACCUCAUACCAACCUCCUCCAGCACACUGCCAGUUAAACAACACCUGCUAGGGAAAAGAAAGAAACAUUUAAAAAGGAAAAUGAGAUAAUGAAAACUAAGUACCAUUUUGAACCACAUCAAUCUUGCUACAGUAAACAAGGCUGGAUGACUCGAGGACCAUGCUGAUAAGGACAUCCUAGUUAGCAACAGUAGCUUUUCUGUCUCCUUUCCAGAGAUUAUUUCUUUCUAUCUCAGGAAUCAAAUCAACUGGGUUCUUCUUGUGGAUUGUAAACUACGCCAAAGCCAAUCAGUGCAAACCCACUGCCUUCACUGAGUUUCUUCUGCUUUCUGGCAGCUUAAGUUCUGGCUUUUACUGAUUCUACAGACAAAUCCAAGUUGCUCAAUAUGUUUCAUGAGUCUGCAGCUACCUACACAUGAGUUUCAAAAGAAGAUCAGAGGUCUACACCAACAUAAAUGAUCUCACAUAUUUCAGGGCUAAGCCUGGAGCCAGCGCACACAGAUUAGGGUGAUAAAAACCUUUGUUUUUCCAGGACUUCAGGUCUCCCUGCAUAAUUUGAGCUGGAAAAACCAAUCUCAUGAGUGCCUCAAUGAAUCUCCUUUCUCUCAUCUCAUGAGUUUGGAGUAUCAAAACACCAAUGCAGCCAUGUUAGGGGACACAAGCUUUGUUUUCCUCUAGGCAUGCUGUCUCUGCAAGAGGCUGGCUGCCCCUGGGUCAUCACUGCAGACGGGGAUAUGUGUGGGAGGGCACAAAAGAGCAAAGCAGGAAAGCAAUGCAAAAAACAGAGAUGGAAAAAUAAAAGUGAAAUUGCACAGCAAACAGCAGUAAAGAAGAAAAAGUGUUUGCAAUAGCGUCGGUGCAGGAAGUGACUGCGGAGGUCAAAGGUGGUCACAGGGAAAUGGCAAUGACAGGAAUAUGAAGCGUUUCAGGAAAUAUAAAUGCACUUUUCUUCCAGUCCUCAGAGAGCAAUAAUGAGAGCAAUGUCAGUGACAGGCAGACACUUGCAGGGGAGAAAAAGAAGUAGUGAGAGGGCUCCAGGUAGUGUCACAGUGAGUAGCGAAGGGCUCUCUCUUGCUGGUGGUGAAUGUUUCAGGGCCAGAACUCAGCCUGGGGUCCUGAGGAUCUCAAAAAAUCAAAUAAUCGUUUGAGUUGGAAGAGACCUUUAAAGGCCAUCCAAUCCAACUCUUCUACAGUGAUCAGGGACACCUACAGCUCCAUCAGGUGCUCAGAGCCCCGUCCAGCCUGACCUUGAAUAUCUUCAAGGAUGACGCAUCCACUACCUCACUGGGCAACCUGUUCUAGUGCAUCACUAUACUUAUCAUAAAAAAAAAAAAACUUCUUCCUUAUGUUCAGUCUACAUCUCCCCUCUUUUGGUUUGAGCCACUUCCCCCUGUCCUGUCACAACAGUUCCUGAAAAAUAGUCUGUCCCUUACUUUCUUACAGCCCCCCUUUAGAUACGAUAAGUAUCUCAGCACUGAGCCAGGCAAAGUGAGGCUAUGCUGGAUGGACAGAUGUCUCUCACCCGCUGCUGUCUCAGGCUCUGGCCUUCAGCAGCUAGUGGGUCCAGCCAGGUAGAAACGUUGAGAAGUUUAAUUUGUUUAAUAAUGGUCUGCAAUGGCUAACAAAAGAAAAUUGCGCUUAACAAAUUUUAUGGAAACUUACAGUUGCUGAAGUGGGUGACAUUAAGAGCUGAGAGGCAGAUGCCGUGGGUGUAAUUUACCUGGCCUUCAGUACAACCUUCAGUAUAGAAUAAAUGAAUACAUUCAAUUUGCAUUUAUAUAGCUCCUUUUCAUCCGCACCCUGUGGCAAGGCAUCUUACAAACAUCUCAUGGGCUGUUUGAAAGUUGUGUUCGUGACAAACUGAGAUGAAGGGAGUCCUGAAGACACUGUGAGCUGCAAACUGGGGAUGUGAGUAUUUCAAUGCAGAUACCCAAAUGUCCACGGUCUGGCCACUUGAUGACAGGACAUAAGACUGUGAGUCAUUUAGAAAACUGCAGAAAUUGAUUUUGGCUGGCUAACUCACACAGGCUCUCCCUCUCUCCAAGAGGAAAGCCCAAAGGAUUUGUUAAGUCUGG
rnacentral:lncRNA from 7 species